CACGCAGGCGGUUUGUUAAGUCAGAUGUGAAAUCCCCGGGCUCAACCUGGGAACUGCAUUUGAAACUGGCAAGCUAGAGUCUCGUAGAGGGGGGUAGAAUUCCAAGUGUAGCGGUGAAAUGCGUAGAGAUCUGGAGGAAUACCGGUGGCGAAGGCGGCCCCCUGGACGAAGACUGACGCUCAGGUGCGAAAGCGUGGGGAGCAAACA
rnacentral:rRNA from 1 species